GCAGUACCUGCUGUCGGAAACAGCCCAGGCUCUCAGGCAGGGGACGGGGAUUUAUACGCUGAAACUUGCAACAUACAAAACCACAAAAGCAGCUGAAGCCAACCAGCAUGUGGACAUUUGCUUAAUUGAGAAAUAAGCACAUAGUUGUGGGUCAGUGACUAUACAGCUGAUUGGCUGAGGCUAUUUUAUUUUGGAAUAAUUUACAGUUGUUAAAUGGAUUUGGAAAAGCCUUAAUAGUGGUUAUUAAACUAUUGACUUAGCCUGACGUGUUCAGUGUAGUAAUCCGUGUUUGUGUUUGUGGCUGCGAGGCGGCUGCUGGAGCUGGGAAAGGUGCUGGAGCGCUCCUCCUGCGCGGACAUCAGCAAAGCUCUUCGGAUUUUAUCUGGGUCAGAAGCUUCCCCAUAGUUACAAAUUCAUUAUGUGCAUCUCCAUCAUCACCUAUUGAAACUAAUUUAAUGUCAAAAAACCCUCCUGUACAAAGAGUGACUUUUUUGCACCUGUGCAGAAUCAGACUCGUUUUAAACUGUUUGUGCAAUGAAUAACUUCAAGUGCAGCACUUGUCGAGUUUGCCCUUCUGGCCAGCAGUUCAAACUGUUCACGUUCAUUUAUACCACGGUGCAGGAUACAUUUGCUAAGGACUACAGAGCACGUAUUUUACGAUGCGUGGAAGAAAUCCCUCCAAAUGAACUAAAUAUCUCUCCUACUCAUCACGUCUCCUGUCCACAGCAGCAGAGGGAAUUCCCUCAAGGUCAUUGUUUCCUGGGGGAUGCUGUGCCUUAAUGGCAUUCAGGGCAGCACUGUUGUGAAGGAGCAAAUGAGCUCAGCUUGGACCACCAGCUUUGAGGGGUUUGGACCCCUUCAGCAAGGCCUGGAUCAGCCCAAAACACCUGUCAAGGACACACCUGAAGAGAGAGGAGUCUAAGCCGUGCUGGGCCACAAUGUUGGUGACUGCAACUUUGGGUUGGUUUGUGCUACGUAAGAGAGCUCAUCUGGGACUUCAGCAAGGAAACAAAUGUCUGUCAGUUGCACAGGUGAUGGAUGGAGUGAGUAAUCUCACAAGACAGGUGAGAAAAUCACAGAGAUGAGAUCAGCCACCAGGGAAGUAGACCAGAGGUUGGGUAAAAAAUGAAAAAGAAACAAAGUGUGUGGGGGAAGAGUUAUUCCACCUUCUUUAGAAUCAUAGAAUUAUUUAGGCUGAAAAAGUUCUUUAAGAUCAUCAAGUCCAGCCAUUGACCCAGCACUGCCAAGUAUACCACCAAACCAUGUCCUCAAGCAUCACAUCUCUCUGGGCAACCUAUUUCAAUGCUUGAUAACCCUUUCAGUGAAGAGAUUUUCCUAAUAUCCAAUUUAAACCUCCCCUGGCACAACUUGAGACUGUUUCCUGUUUUUGGGACUAAAACAACUACCAAUUGUAAGCACUGAAUCUGAAACAUUUUCUAUGUGUGAAGGCAUCUAGAAUGUUCUUUAGAGCAAAAACUGACCCUAAAAUGAGAGUCUGUUUUCUGGGAUGGAUAAAGGAAGCGUAUUCAGCAUGAAAUGGGUUAAAAAGUAGCAGGAGGGGCUUCAUCCUUCUCCUACUCAUCCUUUAUCUUUUCCUAGGUAAACAACAUUUCUUGAUUAAAAGAUAUGUUAGGUAAACCACGCAAAUCGGUUGCUAAAAUAUCAUGAUUACACUUCAAAUGUAAAAACACACAUGUUGCACUGGGCUCUUUCUGGGCUCCUCCGUGAGUGUGUGCCUAAGGGAUGUGCUGCUGCCUUACCCAUGGCUCUGCAGGGCUGG
rnacentral:lncRNA from 1 species